CCUACGGGAGGCAGCAGUGGGGAAUAUUGGACAAUGGGGGAAACCCUGAUGCAGCGACGCCGCGUGAGUGAAGAAGUAUCUCGGUAUGUAAAGCUCUAUUAGUAGGGAAGAAAAUGACGGUACGUGAUUAAGAAGCACCGGAUAACUACGUGCCAGCAGCCGCGGUAAUAUGUAGGGGGCAAGCGUUAUCCGGAGUUACUGGGUGUAAUGGGAGUGUAGACGGCAGGACAAGUCUGGAGUGAAAUGCCGGGGCUUAACCCCGGAACUGCUUUUGAAACUGUGCAGCUAGAGUGCAGGAGAGGUAAGUGAAAUUCCUAGUGUAGCGGUGAAAUGCGUAGAUAUUA
rnacentral:rRNA from 1 species